rnacentral:sRNA from 1 species
GGCUCGCUUCGCCGCGCUCCCUCCUUCCCCGCCUUCCAUACCUCCCCGGCUCCGCUCGGUUCCUGGCCACCCCGCAGCCCCUGCCCAGGUGCCAUGGCCGCAUUGUACCGCCCCGGCCUGCGGUGAGUCACCCCCGGCCCGGGGCCCACCCGCACCUUCCGCUGCGCUCGCCCCCUCGGGGCUGCCAGUGGCGCUCUCCUGCUCUCAGCCUCCGCCAGGUUUCCCAUCCUAGGCGGAGGCGGGCAGGGGCGACUGCUGUGGGUCCAGCCUCCCGCGCCGCGCGUCUCUUGGGAGGGCAGCCGGCCGGUGCUCCUCGUUUCCGCCUGCACCUCCCCUUCUCUGCCUCGCUCGCCUCUGACCUCGCGAUCUCUAUCUGCCACUCUCAGAACUUCCUCUCCCUCCUCGCUCCUCUCUGCUGAGCCGGGUCUCCGCAUAUCCUCCUUUCCUUCCCAGAUACCUCCCUCGGACCUCUAACGGGCUCUCAGCCAGCGCCCCAGGGUACUUCGAGAGGCAGCAGGGCCCUGGGGACAAGGGCUUAGCCGGCAUGGGCUGAGCCCCUUGGGCUGGCCAUCAUGCCGUAGCAUCCAGACCCUGCGAGUGCUUAGUGGAGAUCUGGGCCAGCUUCCCACUGGCAUUCGAGAUUUUGUAGAGCACAGUGCCCGCCUGUGCCAACCAGAGGGCAUCCACAUCUGUGAUGGAACUGAGGCUGAGAAUACUGCCACACUGACCCUGCUGGAGCAGCAGGGCCUCAUCCGAAAGCUCCCCAAGUACAAUAACUGCUGGCUGGCCCGCACAGACUCCAAGGAUGUGGCACGAGUAGAGAGCAAGACGGUGAUUGUAACUCCUUCUCAGCGGGACACGGUACCUCUCCCGGCUGGUGGGGCCCGUGGGCAGCUGGGCAACUGGAUGUCCCCAGCUGAUUUCCAGCGAGCUGUGGAUGAGAGGUUUCCAGGCUGCAUGCAGGGUAACCAGGGCAGAGGCACAGUGGCAAGGGCAUGGAAGACAUGAACAGGUUUGGAACCCUUCAUCCAGGGGAUGCCUUCCUCCACAGGCCGCACCAUGUACGUGCUUCCAUUCAGCAUGGGUCCUGUGGGCUCCCCGCUGUCCCGCAUCGGGGUGCAGCUCACUGACUCAGCCUAUGUGGUAGCAAGCAUGCGUAUUAUGACCCGACUGGGGACACCCGUGCUUCAGGCCCUGGGAGAUGGUGACUUUGUCAAGUGUCUGCACUCCGUGGGCCAGCCCCUGACAGGACAAGGGGAGCCGGUGAGCAAGUGGCCGUGCAACCCAGAGAAAACCCUGAUUGGCCACGUGCCCGACCAGCGGGAGAUCGUCUCCUUCGGCAGCGGCUAUGGUGGCAACUCCCUGCUGGGCAAGAAGUGCUUUGCCCUACGCAUCGCCUCUCGGCUGGCCCGGGAUGAGGGCUGGCUGGCAGAGCACAUGCUGAUCCUGGGCAUCACUAGCCCUGCAGGGAAGAAGCGCUAUGUGGCAGCCGCCUUCCCUAGUGCCUGUGGCAAGACCAACCUGGCUAUGAUGCGGCCCGCACUGCCAGGCUGGAAAGUGGAGUGUGUGGGGGAUGACAUUGCUUGGAUGAGGUUUGACAGUGAAGGUGAGGGACCCUCAGAUCACACUCUUGGUUCUGGCUCUUGUCAGAGCCUCGGGGUCUCCUCUGUAGUGUUCACAGUGACUUUGUCAGUGAGAAAGUUUCCUGAACACCCAACCCUGCUCCAUUCCUCUGGCAGCCCAGCCACCCUAGAGACAGCCUUUCCUCAUCAGAUCUUGGGUCCAUCUCAGGACAGGGUGGGGUGGAGCAGGACCUUCUUUGGUCUUACAUCUCAAGUUUUCCUUGUUUGGUCCUUCCUUUCUUUCACUUCUCCUAACAGGUCGACUCCGGGCCAUCAACCCUGAGAAUGGCUUCUUUGGGGUUGCCCCUGGUACCUCUGCCACCACCAAUCCCAACGCCAUGGCUACAAUCCAGAGUAACACUAUUUUUACCAAUGUGGCUGAGACCAGCGAUGGUGGCGUGUACUGGGAGGGCAUUGACCAGCCUCUUCCACCUGGUGUUACUGUGACCUCCUGGCUGGGCAAACACUGGAAACCUGGUAUGUGCGGUGGGGAAGGUGUGGCACAGCCUCCAGGCCUCAGCACCUUAAUGGUGGAAAAGCUUUCUCCACAACCUCCAACCAUCUUCU